rnacentral:rRNA from 1 species
GGGUCAGUAGGUUGGUCGUGCCACCGGUACGUACUGGUCUCACUGAUUCCUCCUUCCUGAAGAACUGUAAUGCCAUUAAUUUGGUGUUGCGGGGAAACAGGACUGUUACUUUGAAAAAAUUAGAGUGUUUAAAGCAAGCUAACGCUUGAAUACAUUAGCAUGGAAUAAUGAAAUAGGACGAUCGAUCCCAUUUUGUUGGUUUCUAGGAUUGACGUA